UUUUGCUGCCCAAGAACAGGUUAGUCAUCGAUUUUAUUUUUUCAUUCUUGUUACGUUAUAAUAGUCGUCGUAUUUUUUGAUUAAGUAUAUUGUUUACUGGGAUGUAGCUGUAGAGGCCUUGUCGGCCGUAGUAUUUGAUUGAUCGUUAUGUCGUUUGUUGAAUCUUUGGUUAUCCCACGUCGUGUUUUCUUCGAGCACGUUGUUGUGUUGAUAUAUUGAUCGGUUAAAGCAUUGUAUAUUCAUUAAGUUGCUGCCUUCCCUGUUCAUUACAUUAUUCAGAAUUAGAGAAUUCCGUUGUGAGAUAUUGGAUCACCGUUAAGCCGUAAUCUAGUUAAAUGAAAGUCGGAUGGGUAGUUCUUGUGAUUUAUUUGGAAGUUUGAGUUGGGUAGCUUAAUUUUAUCAUGUUCGCCUUCGAAAUUACUGUUUCAUUCAUCCCUAGUAUGCCAGUUUUUUUGCAUAGUUUGAGUAGUAUGAUCCAUUUGCUGCCUCAGUGACUGAAUAUUUUUCCUAGUUGCAUCUUCUUAAGUGCAACUUCAUUUCGACUCACCCUAAAAUUUGGCCAAUAAUUCGAGGUUGCUAAUAGGGGUUUAUUUCAUUCUAUUGAAUGGAAUCGGACUGCCUUCUAACUUUUUGACCCUGGAGGCCAAAAGAAGAUAGUGGGCGUAUGUCUGUGGCAAGGUCUACCGCCCCAUCAGCCCUCGGGAACCUCUUCUUCAACCUUUGGAAAAUCAUUUCAAGCUGGUCGAAAGAGGAGGGUGAGAAUAACCCUGCAGAUACUUCUAAGAGGUGCAGGUGAUGCUUCUUUUGUGUGCUAAUUGCGCAAGAAGUGCUGCUUUGUUCAUUCACUGCAAACAAGUUGCCUAGAUGUUACAACUUGCCUAAUUACAUCCUACUUCGAAGAAUGUCUAGCUUUUCCCUAAAAAAAAAACCUACAUCAUUUGCUCCCUUUGUUUUGAUAGUUAGAUGCAUGUCAGUUUUUCGCCAUAUCCAUCUUCGGAAUCAAAUGCCUAUGGUCAAUUUUAUGUUUCCUCGACUAGUCUUUGUUCAUUCAAAUUACUUUUCCUUUUCUUUCUUUACUCUUUUGAAUCAAUUGUGGUUCAUUUACCUAGAACUUUUGGAGUUCUGUAAAGCGUCUCCCGACUAUCGAAUUGUGCUUGAGCGUUUUAUUAUCUUCCCCCUCUUAAUCUGUUUAAAAUUCUACGUGUCGUGAAUAUUGGCCUUUCUCGAUGUAUUGGUAUGAAUUUCAAUUUAACUAAAUUGUAGUUCGCUUGGUAAACAACAUAGAUUGGUAGCCUGCUUAGUUUAGUUCAGAUUUUCUUUGCAAAGCGAUGUUUUAUUCUUCCUUGGAAAAUUAUGAUAUUAUGAUGUUUUAGUUUCAAUUUUACUUUGAUGGAGUAUGGUGUGUAUUAUUAUAUUACAUAUGACUGCCAUAUUUGAAUUACUAUCUUGCAGUCCAUUUGAGUCACCACAGACUGUUUGGUUUAUCCAUUUGUUACAUUACUUCUCUAUGUAGCAAUUUCGUAUUGUUGGGUGUAUUAAUUUCGUUUCUCUUUUUUUUUCCUUUUUGCAUGACAACGCCUCGGAGUCCAACUCUAUGGUCAUUGGUGCAUUAUCAAUCUGGGCCAUUGAGGCCAAUCCCUCAUGAGUCGAUUUCAAAGGUCCUCUGAAAAUCAAUCUCGUAGUGCACGGAUACGAAAAGUCGGAAGAGGGAAAAUGGAUUAAAGUCCCACAUUUGAAGCGGCCAAGAGACUUGAAAGUCUCGGUUUCCAUUUUAUUUAUUUAUUUAUUUAUUUAUUUAAGUCAUUUAUUACUGUUGUCUUUAUUUAUUUAGUUAUUUAUUUUUAUUCAUUCAUUCGGGCCGAGAAGUCAAAGUUGUAUUUAAUAUAGGUGGAACAAGAUUUGAGUCAAAAGGCUCGAAAACUAGAUUAGGACAGGUGGAAUGGGUCAAAGGCCCGAUUAGACUAGGACAGAUUUUGUUGGUUUGGGCCCAAUGGCCUAAAUCAUUUACUGUCUCCUCCCUUUCCCCGUUUAUGUGUUUACUUGCUUAUUUUAUUUGUGUAGACUUAGUCAAAAUCCCUAUUAGGUCGUCUAAAACUGUUUUUACACAAAUCUUUUCGACAAAAUCAAUCACUUUUGAAAAAUAAACUUCUUUUAAGGUUAAUCAAAGAUGAUUUUUCAAAUAGUCCGGAUAACCGCAAGUUAGCGAACGUUUUAGGUGUCUAACACCUUCCUAAAAUGUUAAUAGGUACUGCUUAUUUAGAAUCUCUAACUUAAACGAUUUUACCGUUUUGAAUCGUCUAAGUACAUUACAAAGUUUCUUAAUUCCUUUUCAAAAUUAAGUGACAAUUUUUUUCAAAAGUCAAAAUUUUGUCGAAACAGACGUGAAUGGGGUAAACCAAUCACAAAAUUCAUAUUCACUUCUUCCCACUUUCAGGUGGGGAUGCUAAACUUUUGCAACGCACCACCCGGUCUUUAGUGCUCUACCUUAACCUAUUUACAAGUUGCAUGUUUAGCUACGAACUCUGCUAUAUCUUUCUUUUUACCAUUCCAUCAAUAAAUUUUUCGCAAGUCGCGGUACAUCUUGGUAGCACCUGGAUGAAUAGAAUAACACGUACCAUGCACUUCAACCAUAAUUCUCUAUCUCAAAUAAUCAACACAAGGCACACACAAUCUAUUCAGGUACCUUAGCAGUCUAUCUCUCCCUUGGAAAAACACCUCUACCUUUUGGUCUUUAACCGACUCCUUCAGUUUGACCAAACUAGAAUCCAUAUCCUGUUACUCUUUCACUUCUGAAAUUAGGGAAGAUUUGAAACUACUCUGAACCCAAAUAUUCCCUUCAACUGAAUCAACCAACCUAACACCCAAUCUAGCCAAACGAUGAACUUCUCGAGCUAACUCUUUCUUAUCAUUCUCCACAUGAGCAACACUGACCAUAGACAACCCACUAAGGGCAUUUGCUACUACAUUGGCUUUGCCUGAAUGAUGCCACAUACUCAUAUCAUAAUUCUUCAACAACUCCAACCACCUUCUCUGACAGAGAUUCAACUCCCUCCGAGUAAAAACAUAUUAAAAACUUUUGUGGUCCGUGAACAUAUUAACAUGCACACCAUACAGAUAAUGUCUCCAUAUUUUCAAAGCAAACACUACAACAGUUAAUUCCAGGUCAUGGAUUGGGUAAUUCUUUUCAUGAGGCUUCAACUGUCUAGAGGCAUAGGCUAUGGCUUUACCUUUCUGUAUCAACACACAACUCAAACCAACUCUAGAGGCAUCACAAUAAACAACAAAAUCGUUUGUACCAUCAGGUAAUGUUAGAACUGGGGCUGAAGUGAGUCGAGUCUUCAACUCCUGAAAACUCUUCUCGCAGGAAUCUGAUCACAGGAACUUAACUUUAUUUUGGGUCAAUUUAGACAUCGGAGAUGCAGUAGAUGAGAAACCUUCAACAAAAUGACGGUAGUAUCCAGCUAGACCCAAGAAACUCCUAAUGUCUAAUGGAGAGAUAGGUUUAGGCCAAUUUCUUACGGCUUCUGUUUUUUGGGGAUUGACUCUAAUGCCA
rnacentral:lncRNA from 1 species